AUAAAACAUUGUAUUAAAUGUAUAAAUAUUUUAUAUGCAAAUAGAUUAAAGUUUGUUUUGUGACUUGUGAUCGAGCGAUUUACUUGGUAGGACCAUGGAAGUACUAUAUCAAUAUAAUACUUCCAUGGACUUAGAAUUUUUCUCGCAAUCUUCAAACAAUGACAAUAACUCCAGUUUUGGAUAAAAAAGGCCCCGAUUCAUUAAAUUUUCUAAAAUAUCAAAUAUAUAUCAUUGGAAAGAUU
rnacentral:lncRNA from 1 species